GCAGCUCCUGAGGGAGACAGAGGAGCCCCCCCAACCAUGAAACCCCCCCCGGGGGUAGACAGCCUCUCCCUCUCAGAGGAGACCUUACUGCUGAACACCCUCCCUGCCUCCUCCUGCACGUCUCAACGUUUCCUCUAAAGCCCCGACCGGCUGUCUGGUAGAGGAACCACAACCUGGACCUGCAGUAGACAUUUAGCACCACCACCACCCCCCCCAGCUCCAACUACCGGCCUACCUGCUCCACCACCUCCAACACCUGGUCUACCGGAGGCAGGUGGAGGUCUUACCUUCCCGGGGCCGACCCUCUGAGCCAGGGCUCCUCCCACUUCCUGCUCGUUGCCGUAGGCAGCGGCGCAGUCGACAUGUCUGUAGCCGCAGUCCAACGCAGACAACACCGCCUGCUGCACCUGACACACGCACACACAUGGACGCACACAUGCACACACAAACACACACACACAAACA